rnacentral:rRNA from 1 species
AACCAGCACCUCAAGUGGUCAGGAUGAUUAUUGGGCCUAAAGCAUCCGUAGCCGGCUUUGUAAGUUUUCGGUUAAAUCCAUGCGCUCAACGUAUGGGCUGCCGGGAAUACUGCAAAGCUAGGGAGUGGGAGAGGUAGACGGUACUCGGUAGGAAGGGGUAAAAUCCUUUGAUCUAUUGAUGACCACCUGUGGCGAAGGCGGUCUACCAGAACACGUCCGACGGUGAGGGAUGAAAGCUGGGGGAGCAAACCGGAUUAGAUACCCGGGUAGUCCCAGCUGUAAACUAUGCAAACUCAGUGAUGCAUUGGCUUGAUGCCAAUGCAGUGCUGCAGGGAAGCCGUUAAGUUUGCCGCCUGGGAAGUACGUACGCAAGUAUGAAACUUAAAGGAAUUGGCGGGGGAGCACCACAAGGGGUGAAGCCUGCGGUUCAAUUGGAGUCAACGCCAGAAAUCUUACCCGGAGAGACAGCAGAAUGAAGGUCAAGCUGAAGACUUUACCAGACAAGCUGAGAGGUGGUGCAUGGCCGUCGCCAGCUCGUGCCGUGAGAUGUCCUGUUAAGUCAGGUAACGAGCGAGAUCCCUGCCUCUAGUUGCCACCACUACUCUCAGGAGUAGUGGGGCGAAUUAGCGGGACCGCCGUAGUUAAUACGGAGGAAGGAAGGGGCUACGGCAGGUCAGUAUGCCCCGAAACUCUGGGGCCACACGCGGGCUGCAAUGGUAACGACAAUGUGUUCCGAAUCCGAAAGGAGGAGGUAAUCCUCAAACGUUACCACAGUUAUGACUGAGGGCUGCAACUCGCCCUCACGAAUAUGGAAUCCCUAGUAACUGCGUGUCACUAUCGCGCGGUGAAUACGUCCCUGCUCCU